AUGACAGCCCCGGAACCCAUGCAAAGGUGAUAGCAGCCUCGCGAAGAUAGGAGUUAUCCUGGUCAGCUGUUCCUGUGGGAAAUGGAGUCCCAUAGACGCAGAUGAACCACAAACUGCUUCCGCCAUCAGCCACUAGAAACCAUUUGUUGUACUCAUAGGCCACAAUGGUCUUGUACUACAUAUUAUGUACAUUGCUUGGAAUUUUCUGUAUCAAGUUGGUGCCUCAUCAGCUAACAGAAAUCCUGGGGCUGGUGAGCACAAGGAUCAUUUUCUGGAAAAAUAUAUCCCGAAAACCCGGUCCUGACAAUGGACGUAUGGAUUCAAUGGUUCGAGGAUGUAAAUCUACCUGAUAUAUUGUUCAUGGGGAUUGAGUAUGGUAGUGAUAUCUGAGAAUUUUAAUGAUCUACUCUGUAUCUGCUAGCAGGUACUGUACUCACCAAAAAAAAUUGUGUGUGCUUCAGCUCAUUCAAUUGCAUGUUAAUUUCCUAACAAACCUCCUGCUGCAGCAGUUUUCUUUGUACAAUACUUGCAAAUUACCGAUUUUUCUGAAAUCUUAUUCCUUUUGUGGUUAAUUUGUAGUGUUGUCGUGUUCCUGUACAAGAACAUGGGCUUGCUUAACGAGUGCACUAAGAUUGCUCAUGAACUACAGCUCAGGCUUAUAAUAUGCAUCAUAAGGAAUCUUCGAUAGUUUCUACAAAAAUAAUCAUGGGUCUGAUGUUUACAUUAUAGAGGGUUGUCGUACAACGUCAAAUACUAUGGAUCUAUGUAGGGUAACUGAUUAAUUCCAUAGUGAAUAAUCAACCAAGAAAUAGGUUGUAGUGCUGAUUCGUUCACUCUUUGGAUUUACUAUCGUACCUACAUUUGUAUGAUUCCUUUUAGCUGAUGUUGUCUGCUCAUACUGACAAAAGGUGCGUUGAAAAAUGAUUGUAGGGCAGUAGAGAAAAAUGUUUCUAUGAACGUGCCAAUAUUGAUUGAUUUAACUACAUGCAUUGCAUUGUUUAAUCUACGGCGUACUGUUCUUUCUAAUGAACUAUUUGCUGCAAUUUGUAUGUUCUGCAGCUUCCAUGGUCAAGUUCUCCCUUUCUUUAGGCUAGCCAGAGGUCUUAACUAUUGAAGUUUGUAUGUUCUGCAGUGUCAAGUCCUCCCUUUGUUCAGUCUGGGAGGUCUUAGCUCUUUCAAUUUGUAUGUUCUACAACAUCCAUGAUUAUAUCCCCCCUUUCUUCAUGCUGGGCAGAAGUUUUAAUUGCAUGUACCUAUGUGCCAAUGCGCCUAUAAGCCUUGGUAAAAUAUGUCCAAAUCUAACAAAUAUUGUAGUUUAACCUCAUCAUAAUAAUUGACAAAAACAAUUGUGACCUUCAAGGGACACUUAUUACUACAGUUUUGUUAUGAUCUUUGUUUAGGAAUGGGAAAAGGCCUACAUAUUAAAGACUCAGGUCAAAGGCGGGUCUGUUGUGUUUCUAUGAUUACGGAUUUCUAAAAUACAUUGACCUAAUAAUGGAACUAUGUAGUGCAAUCUUCUAUAGUUUACUACAGCUUAACAGCCUCUUUCCCUGUACAAAUGGUGCGAGUCUAUUAGAGAUCUCCACUUAGUGCAAAAGGCUGGUGACUAAUUUUCUUUUGCAUUGCAUACUUUUGAAUAACAUAGUGGCUAUUUUAUAUCCCUUUUUUUCUAAAUAUGGACCCCCCUGAAUCCUAUAUGACAAGAAAGUCAUGUAUUUUUGCAAGAAAGUUCAUGUAGAAAAUGAACCGAUAUUAUGUCUUCUAUAUUAAAAUCUAACAUAUGGUAGUGCCCUAAAGGAGUACGAUUGGUAGCCAACUAACUUAUAUAACAUGCACAUAUUACUCUGUUUUUCUAAUGAGUGUAUGUGGAUGCAAACAAAUAGUUGAGGAGCAAUUGCUAUUCUCUAUUUCUUUAGUGAGUAUAUGUGGAUGCGUAGAAACGAUUCUCUAUUUUUUUCACGGAUAUAUGUUGAUGCAUGGAAAAAUGUAUAUGGUGUGUUUCAUUUCUGCUCAUCCUGAUCUAACUAAGCUGACCCGGUGGAUUUGAGAUUGCCGUGCCUGUCAGGUUUGGACAUGUCCUUAUUUGUACUUAAUCACUAAACUAAACUGUAUAAAUAAAAUAGUCCCCCCUCCUUUCCAACAACUUAUUUAUUAUUAGAGUGAGCAACGACAUGUUAUCAUACUCAGUUUCUUGUGAGUAGUGCUUUAGUUUAGAUUGACAUAUACUCUUUGGUAGCAUUUUUGCCUACCUCUUGCCUAUUUUCAUAGAUAGAUGGUUUGCUUUGGAGAGGGAUUAGAUAAGGCAUGUGAGUCCUAAGUCAGCGUGAUAAGCAACUCCUGCACUUCUAUAUACUAUUAAGUGCCAACUGAAUUUCUGAUAACAAUGUUUCAGGGAUGAUACAGUCAAUCCAACUAUUACCUUUGGUGUACUUUCUGGAUGGACUAAUCUGAAGAUGCUGGCUAGCUUGCACCACCAUCAUAUAGUCUAGAAGCAAGGGCAAGGAUUAUAGGGAAAAUAAAGGCAAUUCGUCACCCGGAGGAAAUGCCAACUAAUGCAUUUUUGUACUUCCUUUGUUAUAGAGGUAAAAUUAAAACUACUUUUCGGAAGCUUUUUUUGUUGCAUGUAGCCCUUUCUUAAUCUUCGAUUUGUUCAAAUGUACAUAACCGAGCUUAUAUUAUAAUCCUUAUUACACAAUGAAUCUCACCAUUCUAUCGUUUUCCUGAAAAUUUGUACUCACGUAGUUCCUUUUUUCAUAUGGGUGAUCUUUUGUUGCCCUGAUUUGGUGUGCAUAUAGGGACAUUAUAGGCUUAUUUUGUUUCCUCUUCGUUCAUGCACUAAUACAUAAAUAUUUUGGUUAUGCCCUUAUUAUUUGGUCUAGAGCUAUGCAAUGACAACCAUGGCUUUGUAUUCAAGUGAGUGCCAUUUAUAGACUGAAGAAUCCUUGGCAGCUUAUCUAAAUUCUUUCAUCCUAGAUAUUAUGUAUGCCCAGUUAAGUACCUUAUACAAGUACCUUAAUUAUAAUUAGCCUCUUCUGACUAUUAAUUAUUUGAAUUGUUCUAUUAGGACUCAGACUUUUAAAGUUAUUAGGAUCUGGACAUGUUUUUACUUUAGUUUGUACAGUUUUGUGUUCUUUUGGCUUCAGGCUGCUGUUGCAUAUAAAGUACAAUAAACUCAGAUGAUGCAUGAAAAAAACUGCAGACCUAGCAUAGUUUUUGUAUUCAGAUUUUGUAACUAAUUAUGUGAUGCCUUUAUGUUAAAAUACUUAUUUGUUCUCCAACUAGGCCAA